rnacentral:rRNA from 1 species
AACGCGAAGAACCUUACCAGGGCUUGACAUCCUCUGUAAACUGCAGAAAUGCAGUCCCCAUAGCAAUAUGGCAGGGUGACAGGUGCUGCAUGGCUGUCGUCAGCUCGUGUCGUGAGAUGUUGGGUUAAGUCCCGCAACGAGCGCAACCCUCGUCGAGUGUUGCCAUCAUUCAGUUGGGCACUCACUCGAGACCGCCGUUGAUAAGACGGAGGAAGGUGGGGAUGACGUCAAGUCCGCAUGGCCCUUACGUCCUGGGCUACACACGUGCUACAAUGGCCGGUACAACGAGCAGCAAGACCGCGAGGUCAAGCGAAUCUCUGAAAGCCGGUCUCAGUUCGGAUCGAAGGCUGCAACUCGCCUUCGUGAAGUCGGAAUCGCUAGUAACUGCAGAUCAGCUACGCUGCGGUGAAUACGUUCCCGGGCCUUGUA